rnacentral:rRNA from 1 species
GCGACGCGUAACCCGCAAGGGGAGGACCAGACGGGGCCCAAGGUAUGAUUCAUGAUUGGGGUG